rnacentral:tRNA from 1 species
GGAGAUGUGGCUCAGUGGUAGAGUUCUUGCCUUGCACGUACAAGGCCCUGGGUUCAAUGGCCCAGCACAACCA